ACUCAGAUAAUUUAAAAUAAAAAUAUUAGCUUGUGGCGCUAAAAAUGUAUAAGUAUACCCUGAGUA
rnacentral:tRNA from 1 species